GCACUUUAAUGUGUAAUGAGAGAAAGAAUGCGGAGCCUGUGACGUAUUCAUCACGUGAUCCUCCGGCUCGGGUAUGGGAGAACGCAGAGAAGGAAUUUUGGUUGCGGAGGCAAGACGGGGCAAGUGGAAUGUCUAUGUUGGCGGUGACGCUCGCCUCCUGAAAUCAUGGAUUCGCAGCACCUCAAAUAUUUCUAUAUCUGCUAUAAAUGAACUA
rnacentral:lncRNA from 1 species